UAACGCGNGGGUAACCUGCCUCAUACAGGGGGAUAACAGUUAGAAAUGACUGCUAAUACCGCAUAAGCGCACAGGACCGCAUGGUCCGGUGUGAAAAACUCCGGUGGUAUGAGAUGGACCCGCGUCUGAUUAGUUAGUUGGCGGGGUAGCGGCCCACCAAGACGACGAUCAGUAGCCGACCUGAGAGGGUGACCGGCCACAUUGGGACUGAGACACGGCCCAAACUCCUACGGGAGGCAGCAGUGGGGAAUAUUGCACAAUGGGGGAAACCCUGAUGCAGCGACGCCGCGUGAGUGAAGAAGUAUUUCGGUAUGUAAAGCUCUAUCAGCAGGGAAGAAGUUGACGGUACCUGAGUAAGAAGCCCCGGCUAACUACGUGCCAGCAGCCGCGGUAAUACGUAGGGGGCAAGCGUUAUCCGGAUUUACUGGGUGUAAAGGGAGCGUAGACGGCAGUGCAAGUCUGAAGUGAAAGCCCCGGGCUUAANCCGGGAACUGCUUUGGAAACUGUACGGCUGGAGUGCUGGAGAGGUAAGCGGAAUUCCUAGUGUAGCGGUGAAAUGCGUAGAUAUUAGGAGGAACACCAGUGGCGAAGGCGGCUUACUGGACAGUAACUGACGUUGAGGCUCGAAAGCGUGCGGAGCAAACAGGAUUAGAUACCCUGNUAGU
rnacentral:rRNA from 1 species